rnacentral:lncRNA from 1 species
UACAACUUACAAUAAUGAUACCAAUGAUAGUAAUAAUGAUAUUCGUUUUUCUAAUUAGUUUAAAAUAUUAACAACUUAUUUUUCUCUUUCAGACAAUCUUUACAUUUAUAAAUAAUGAUUGUGUUCGGAAAUAUUUAACAAUUAAUAAACUAUCCCAAAUGGAUGAAUAAAGCAUCCGAAGAGGCGAAGAAGAAAGCCGGUGUGGAUCGACUAGACAAGACCUGCAAAAACUUUCCUUCUUGAUCGAUACCUGAGAAAAAAUCAAUGGGAAAGAAUGAUGACAAAUUAAAGUUUUUGGCAAACGAUUUGAAGAAAAAUCGAAAAAAUAUUCUGACAACCGGACUAGCAAAGAAUGAUACAUCGUGCACUACAAGAUUCCUGCGUUUCAGCGACGAUUUUUGAUCGACGCUAAAGCUUCGUUAUAGGUCCCUUCAUGGUAUCUGCAUAGGGGUGAGAUUCCUGAUACCCGGUACCCAGCCUGCUCCCGGACGGAUACGGGUACGAUGAUGAUUUUCAUACUCGAAGUAGAAAAAUUCCCGUCCCCGGUCAUUUCCGGGUACGGGGAAGGGGAUUUCAAUCCCCGCCUCGGAUAAUCCCCGUACCCGGAGAAAAUUGCAUAUAGACCCUAUAAAAAAUUUAUAUUGUAUAAUUUAUAUAAAUAACCUUAUACAAUAUAUUAAAUAGAUAAAUUUAUGUUUAAAAUUGUAAAA